rnacentral:misc_RNA from 1 species
CGGUGUUUUCGCCAGUUUUCGAUGACUGUCUUUGCUUGCCAUUUGUUGAGUUGGACGAAAUGGUCUUCAUGAUUGCAUGGCCAAUCAGGAAGAUGAUAGAGAGGAGGAAGUUUUGUAUCAGGUAGAAGUAAUGGAUCGCUUGUUGUAGCUCUCCAUUUGCUAAUACUUCUGGAGGUGUUGAAAUGAUUUGUAUGUUGACUGGUUUUUGGUAGAAUAAUAGUCUCCUGACUUCUUGAAGGACUCUAUUUCCCAAAAACC